GAUGAACGCUGGCGGCGUGCCUAAUACAUGCAAGUCGAGCGAACAGACGAGAGUGCUUGCACUCUCUGACGUUAGCGGCGGGCGGGUGAGUAACACGUGGGUAACCUACCUAUAAGACUGGGAUAACUUCGGGAAACCGGAGCUAAUACCGGAUAAUAUUUAGCUUCGCAUGAAGCAAUAGUGAAAGACGGUUCUGCUGUCACUUAUAGAUGGACCCGCGGUGUAUUAGCUAGUUGGUGAGGUAACGGCUCACCAAGGCAACGAUACAUAGCCGACCUGAGAGGGUGAUCGGCCACACUGGGACUGAGACACGGCCCAGACUCCUACGGGAGGCAGCAGUAGGGAAUCUUCCGCAAUGGACGAAAGUCUGACGGAGCAAUGCCGCGUGAGUGAAGAAGGUUUUCGGAUCGUAAAACUCUGUUGUAAGGGAAGAACAAGUACGUUAGUAACUGAACGUACCUUGACGGUACCUUACCAGAAAGCCACGGCUAACUACGUG
rnacentral:rRNA from 1 species